UACGAAGGGGGGCUAGCGUUGCUCGGAAUUACUGGGCGUAAAGCGCACGUAGGCGGAUUGUUAAGUCGGGGGUGAAAUCCUGGAGCUCAACUCCAGAACUGCCUUCGAUACUGGCAAGCUAGAGUCCGGAAGAGGUAAGUGGAACUCCUAGUGUAGAGGUGGAAUUCGUAGAUAUUAGGAAGAACACCAGUGGCGAAGGCGGCUUACUGGUCCGGAACUGACGCUGAGGUGCGAAAGGCGUGGGGAGCAAACAGG
rnacentral:rRNA from 1 species